rnacentral:rRNA from 1 species
UGAGGAAUAUUGGGCAAUGCCCGCAAGGGUGACCCAGCAACGCCGCGUGGAGGAUGAAUGUCGUAAGAUUGUAAACUCCUGUUAGAGGGGAAGAAUUGUACCGGUUGGACCGGUAUAUGACUGUACCCUCAGAGAAAGCCCCGGCUAACUACGUGCCAGCAGCCGCGGUAAUACGUAGGGGGCAAGCGUUGUCCGGAUUUACUGGGUGUAAAGGGCGCGCAGGCGGGAUAAAAAGUCAGUGGUGAAAUCCUACAGCUUAACUGUAGAACUGCCUUUGAUACUUUUAUUCUUGAGUUCGGGAGAGAGAGACGGAAUUCCAGGUGUAGUGGUGAAAUACGUAGAUAUCUGGAAGAACACCAGUUGCGAAGGCGGUCUCUUGGUCCGACACUGACGCUGAGGCGCGAAAGCGUGGGGAGCAAACA